AAAAUGACUCUUCGCAAUGGAUAUCUCGGCUCUCGCAUUGAUAAAGAAGCGCAGUAAAUGUGAUACGUGGUGCGAAUUGCUGAAUCCCGUGAACCAUCAAGUCUUUAAACGCAAGUUGUGCCUAAGGCCAACCGGCUAAGGGCACGUCUGCCUGGGCGUCAAGU
rnacentral:rRNA from 1 species